UACGGAGGGUGCGAGCGUUGCUCGGAAUCAUUGGGCGUAAAGCGUACGCAGGCGGUCCUCCAAGUCGGGUGUGAAAGCCCCGGGCUCAACCUGGGAAUUGCAUUCGAGACUGAAUAGCUAGGGUACGGUAGAGGGAAGCGGAAUUUCCGGUGUAGCGGUGAAAUGCGUAGAUAUCGGAAGGAACAUCAGUGGCGAAAGCGGCUUCCUGGACCAGUACCGACGUCAGGCACGAAAGCGUGGGGAGCAAACAGG
rnacentral:rRNA from 1 species